GAUUGUUCACCCACCAAUAGGGAACGUGAGCUGGGUUUAGACCAUCGUGAUACAGGUUAGUUUUACCCUACUGAUGACAGUGUCGCAAUAGUAAUUCAACCUAGUAUGAGAGGGACCAUUGAUUCGCACAAUUGGUCAUCGUGCUUGGUUGAAAAGCCAGUGGCCCGAAGCUACCGUGCACUGGAUUAUGACUGAACACCUCUAAGUCAGAAUCCGGGAUAGAAGCGACGCAUGCGUUCGCCGCCCACUUGCCAACCCACAGUAAGGGCCGUCCGGGCCCCAAAGACACGUGUCGUUGGUGAAGCCCGCAUGGGUUGCCUUGAAGUACAAUUCCUAUCUUGAGCGGUGGGUAGAAUCCUUUGCAAAUGACUUAAAUACGCGAUGGGGUAUUGUAUGUGGCAGAGUGGCCUUGCUGCCAUAAUCCACUGAGAUUCAGCCCUGCGUCGCUCCGAUUCCUCCCUCCC
rnacentral:rRNA from 1 species